rnacentral:misc_RNA from 1 species
UCUCCGUAGGUGAACCUGCGGAGGGAUCAUUACAGAGUUCAUGCCCUACCGGGUAGAUCUCCCACCCUAUGUUAUUAUUACUUUUUUUCUUUUGCGGGCCGUUAGGCUCCGGCCCGCCUACCGUCCCCGGCUGGUAAGCGCCCGCCCGAGGACCCAAAACCCUGAAUAUUAGUGUCGUCUGAGUACUAUAUAAUAGUUAAAACUUUCAACAACGGAUCUCUUGGUUCUG